GUGCACCAGGCGCGAAAACUUCACACUGUGCGAAAGCACGAUGAGGGAAUCCCAAGUGCUUGCACGUAAGUGUAAGCUGUUUCUCUGUCUAAAACGCAGAGAGAGUAAGGGCUGGGUAAGACGGGUGCCAGCCGCCGCGGUAAUACCUGCAGCUCAAGUGGUGACCGUUAUUAUUGGGGCCUAAAACGUCCGUAGCCGGUUUAAUAAAUGCCUGGGUAAAUUGUGUAGCUUGACUAUACGAACUCCGGGUAGACUGUUAAACUUGAGACCGGGAGAAGUUAGAGGUACUCCUGGGGUAGAGGUGAAAUUCUGUAAUCCUAGGGGGACCACCAGUGGCGAAGGCGUCUAACUAGAACGGGUCUGACGGUGAGGGACGAAGCCCUGGGGCGCAAACGGGGAUUA
rnacentral:rRNA from 1 species